GAGUUUGAUCAUGGCUCAGAUUGAACGCUGGCGGCAUGCUUUACACAUGCAAGUCGAACGGUAACAGGCCUUCGGGCGCUGACGAGUGGCGAACGGGUGAGUAAUGCAUCGGAACGUGCCCAGUCGUGGGGGAUAACGCAGCGAAAGCUGCGCUAAUACCGCAUACGAUCUGUGGAUGAAAGCGGGGGACCUUCGGGCCUCGCGCGAUUGGAGCGGCCGAUGUCAGAUUAGGUAGUUGGUGGGGUAAAGGCUCACCAAGCCGACGAUCUGUAGCUGGUCUGAGAGGACGACCAGCCACACUGGGACUGAGACACGGCCCAGACUCCUACGGGAGGCAGCAGUGGGGAAUUUUGGACAAUGGGGGCAACCCUGAUCCAGCAAUGCCGCGUGCAGGAAGAAGGCCUUCGGGUUGUAAACUGCUUUUGUACGGAACGAAAGGGCUCUGGCUAAUACCUGGAGCGGAUGACGGUACCGUAAGAAUAAGCACCGGCUAACUACGUGCCAGCAGCCGCGGUAC
rnacentral:rRNA from 1 species